rnacentral:rRNA from 1 species
AACGAACGCUGGCGGCAUGCCCAACACAUGCAAGUCGAACGAGACCUUCGGGUCUAGUGGCGCACGGGUGCGUAACGCGUGGGAAUCUGCCCUUGGGUUCGGAAUAACAGUUGGAAACGACUGCUAAUACCGGAUGAUGACGUAAGCCCAAAGAUUUAUCGCCCAAGGAUGAGCCCGCGUAGGAUUAGCUAGUUGGUGAGGUAAAGGCUCACCAAGGCGACGAUCCUUAGCUGGUCUGAGAGGAUGAUCAGCCACACUGGGACUGAGACACGGCCCAGACUCCUACGGGAGGCAGCAGUGGGGAAUAUUGGACAAUGGGCGAAAGCCUGAUCCAGCAAUGCCGCGUGAGUGAUGAAGGCCUUAGGGUUGUAAAGCUCUUUUACCCGGGAUGAUAAUGACAGUACCGGGAGAAUAAGCUCCGGCUAACUCCGUG